AAGAGCUUUGAGCAAACUUCCCGGAAUAUCGCCACAAAGAGUGGAGAUCAGCAGGAUUAUCCAUAAAUCGAACCAAAGCAGGUGGAAUCGACCGCCAGACGGUUUUCUGUCCUCGCUCUGUCACAGGCUGUCUUAUCACCCGGUCAGCAACUGCUGCAAUGGGCAAGGCACUGCCUGGUGUCGCUUAUCCGCUUAUGUGUGACCAAAACUGUUUUUGGUCCCGUCACCAUCAGGCUCUAGCAGCACAAGUAUAGCAAGAGGAACUCUUUUAUCCAGGGAGAGCGGUCAUAAUCACUCGACACUGAGCAGAUGGCGAACCCCCAACUUUGCGAGUGCACUUCAAAGGGAGAAAAGGGACUAAGAAAAGGAAUCAUGCUAAGACACCUACAAAAAGGAACAAUAAGAACGGGAUGUUCCCUAGUGUCUUGGCCAAGACUCCGGCUCACGGACUGUUGCUACUCAAAGUGAAACGGAUUGCCUUCCCGAGGAGAGUCGCUCCGUCUAAAACGAAUGGCAGACUGGAAGUUAAACUAAGACGUGUCAUCAGUCCCCCAUGGGGACAUUCUGCGAUGUUUGUCGAUACUGUGAAAUAACACUGUUGCAUGUCGACACAGCUAUAUAGGAACCAGCACCAACCGGACCCCUUUUUCCAUAGUUGCACCUGAUGCAUCGCUGGAACCUUUCCACUUUUGACUUCUGGAAGACAGCUUUUGAUGUAUUCAACAGCCUGUUAAUCUUGAAAUUAUUGAAUUACACUGUAGUUAUAUUGGAUCAAAUGAGCUCUCCAUAGCCAUGCCCACUUUCUCGCUGUUAUAGAAUUUGGAUUGUUUCAACGGCUGUUUUGUGUUUGGUUUUGCCUACUAUUCUGUUCAUUUUUCUACGACUUUUAACCCAGACAAUUCUGUUUCUUCUGUUCUUUCAACUUUAAAAUUUGUUAGAAGGACCAUGUGAUAGAAAUAUGUCACCGGAAUUCUUGAAAUCGCACCUUUGUGUUUUAAAUAACGUAAUUUUUCAUUUUUGUUUUGCUAUUUUUUUCUGUAUUUUGGGCAUGGGCAUAAAUCCUGGGGAUGGGAAAGGGUACAUUCCUCAAUUUCUGACUGGGAGGAUGGGACUAUCGAAUCGUUACACCCCCCCCCCCUUUGUGAGAAAAAAAUAAGGCGGAGCAAGUUAAGUUUCAGUGUAAAAUGAUGUACUCAACAGCACUUAAACAGGAAACCUGUGUAUGUGUAAAGAUUAAGAGAAAUCGAAAACAUUUAGUUCACGUGAAGUAUU